UACGUAGGGGGCAAGCGUUAUCCGGAUUUACUGGGUGUAAAGGGAGCGUAGACGGCCAUUCAAGCCAGAUGUGAAAGCCCGGGGCUCAACCCCGGGACUGCAUUUGGAACUGUAUGGCUGGAGUGUCGGAGAGGCAGGCGGAAUUCCUAGUGUAGCGGUGAAAUGCGUAGAUAUUAGGAGGAACACCAGUAGCGAAGGCGGCCUGCUGGACGAUGACUGACGUUGAGGCUCGAAAGCGUGGGGAGCAAACAGG
rnacentral:rRNA from 1 species